CAGCAGUAAGGGGAUAUGCGCAAUGGGCGAAAGCCUGACGCAGAACGCCGGUGCCCGAUGAAGGCCUUCGGGUCGUGAAAGGGCUUUCAGGCUGAAGAGGAAGGACGGUAAGCCAGGAAAAAGUGUCGGUAACUACGUGCCAGCAGCCGGGUAAAACGUAGACGCGAGCGUAUCCGGAGUACUGGGCGUAAAGGGCGGCAGGCGGCAACAA
rnacentral:rRNA from 1 species